GUCUACAUAUUCCACCCUGAACACGCCCGAUCCCAUCUGAUCUCGGAAGCUAAGCAAGGUCGGGCCUGGUUAGUACUUGGAUGGGAGACCACCUAGGAAGACCAGGUACUGUAGGCA
rnacentral:rRNA from 1 species